UUAUUCUUUUCAGCCUUUCGUCUGCAAGUCUGUGUCCUCCUACCAAAUCACAACUCAGAAACCAUAUCUGAGGUUGCACAUGGGGCCUUUGCAUAGCAUGGAAACAUUGUUUCUUCAGGUUUGAUUCUUGUAUUUGCAGCUAGGUCAUCAAGAAAUAUUCUGUUCCCCUGGGUCUAGCCCUGUAUUUCAGUGGACUUGAUUGAAACAUUGUUUUAAUUUGGAAAUAGAGGAACUGUUGCAUUACCUGCAUGACGAUUUGGUCAUUACUUACUUGACUUUCUCAUUUCCUUUCCCAAAUAAACCUGUGCUUCUCAGAUUGUUUUGAUGGUGAUCAUACCUUUGAGGACAUAGGACUUGCAGCUGGCCGAAGCCAACGAGAGAAAAAACGUUCUUACAAAGAUUUUUUAAGGGAAGAGGAAGAAAUUGCUGCUCAGGUCAGGAAUUCUUCCAAGAAGAAGUUGAAGGAUAGUGAACUUUACUUCUUGGGGACGGACACACACAAGAAGAAGAGGAAGCACUCCUCUGAUGAUUACUACUAUGGAGAUAUUUCGUCUUUGGA
rnacentral:lncRNA from 1 species